rnacentral:lncRNA from 1 species
GCACAUCCUCUAAACCGGCCACAUCUCUUCUGGCUUCCUCCAUUUUCUUUGUGCGAACAUAGAGGAAGGAAAAUCUCGAUCAGCCAUCCGAAGCUGCGCUGUGCUUCGAGUCUUCGUGCAGCCACGCUCGGUCAAAACCUCAUCGCUGAAGACCCUGCAGUAGUUUCACGUUGACACAGCUGCUUCGUGUCUUCUCUCUCUCGCGGCCAGCAAAGCCGAAGCCGCACGCAUCCCGCUGCCACGAAGAAUUCUCCACUUCGGCUUGUCUUCAUCAGAGUCAAGGGAACUAGCAGCUUCUCCUCUUCCGUUGACUGAAGCAGCCCCAAAAUCCCACGGAGUAGCUGAAGACCAAAGCCAGCACCGAAGGAAGCCACCACCGUCUCUCUUCCACCGCGUGCCCACAAUCCGGUCAACGGCGUCCUCUCCUCCACCGUUUGUUGACCGAAGUUCCCACGCCUCUGCCGUCCAUGCGUCUGCCUCCGCAACUCCAUAUGCGGCCAGCAAAUUCCACCGAAGGAAUCCCAGAACCCCAGCGAAGCAACAGCAUCAUCGAAGCCGUGAGUCCACGGUCUUCAGCCGCGUGAGCAGCCGAAAGUCCAUCCCCUCGUCCGCGUAUCUUCAGCCCAAGACCAGGUUCCAUGCCCAGCGAAGCCAUCUCCAGUUGAGCUUGCUUCAGCCCAUCUGCAGAUGCAUUUCCAGCCCAGCAUCAAUUGGAUUGGAAGCCCAGCAAUUUCAGUCUUUCGGGCCCAGCAAAGACAGGCCCAAUUCAGUUUUAUUUCAAGCCCAUUUUCAGCAAUUGUAGUCUUUGAGCCCAGUUUUUGAAGCCCAAUCGCAGCUAGGCCCAAGUCCAAGAGCAAGCCCAUUCCAGUGCAAGAACAAAUCUCAUUUGGGUUGAGAUUUGUUGGGCCAAGCCUAAGGCCCGGUCCAAGCCCGCCGGUGUUGUCGAAAAUCCAAUUUCGGCCGCCGUCGUGUCGCCGUUGCGGUGAUUCGAUCUCCGCUUUUGUCAAGUGAGUUUUACUCACUAAAGCUUUCUUAGUUUGCUAAAUAUGCUUAGGGGUUGGUUAGAUUUAAUUAAAUGCAAUUAGGUGGUUAGAUUAGUUUAGAUCAAUUAAAUUAGAGACUUAAUGAUGCAUGUUAGGUGGUUAGAAAUAGACAUUAGCAAGUAGACAUGCCAUAUUAUUUAUGGAGCGAGUCUCGGUAAUUUUCCGGGCUUGUCUCGGUAUCCAAUUUGGCAUUAUGAGCCUAAAUUGGAUUUUUAUAAUUAUUUAUUUAAUUUUCGAAAUUAAUUAUUUAAUUAUUUAUUUUUCCGCAAAUUCAACCGGGAUGGCCGGUGACCGGAAUUUCGUGCUGAUUGUCGUGGUGCAGUCCAUUUAUUUAUUUGAGCUUUAUUUGGUGCUAAAGUAAUUUAUGAGUGAAUUUAAGAUUUAUUCUUGGAUUGAAUCUGGAGAGGGUCGGGUGGGACCGUAAAGCCACUAGUUCUUGAGAAGGUCGGGUGGGACCGUAAAGCCACUAGUUCUUGAGAAGGUCGGGUGGGACCGUAAAGCCACUAGUUCUUGAGAAGGUCGGGUGGGACCGUAAAGCCACUAGUUCUUGAGAGGGUCGGGUGGGACCGUAAAGCCACUAGUUCUUGAGAGGGUCGGGUGGGACCGUAAAGCCACUAGUUCUUGAAAGGGUCUAACUGAUAUGAAAUCGACUAGGUCGAUUCGAUCGAUGCUUCGAUCGGUGAUGUGAUUGUUUGAAUGCCUAUUGAACUGUACUAAUAUGCAGAUGGAAUCUGAGGCCAAGGUAAGUCCUCCAACUCGUGCCGUGUUUAAGCAGCCUAUAGUGUAUUGGCUUUCUAAUUGAGUCUUAGGGGGUAGGACUCGCUGAGACGUGGUCUCAUUGGUUAUUGAAUAACCAUUUCAGGACCCUAAGGAGAAGCUAAGGAAGAGGAACCUGAAGGGGAGAAAGACUUUUGAAGAAGAAGGCGAUCCUGAGAGGGAUCUUGAAUAUAACCCGGAUGUGGACUGAGAUCCCAUCCCUUUUGUAAACCCUGUCUUAGUAUAGAUAGGUGUGAGACAAGUAUGUUGUGAAUAGUAUUGUAAAUAUACUAUGAGUUGUGCUGUUAAUGAAAGUGUGG